UCUAGAUCUAGGAUCCAGGGUGGGAGGGGCUCUGAUGAGACCAGGGUUCAGCCAGCUGGGAAUACUGCUGGUAAGAUCGGGUACCACUGAGUGGGAAGGUCUGGGAUGACACCCAGAGUCCAGGCCUUCUAGAUGGGAGACAGAGAUUCUCCAGUUCAGAAGGGCAGAGGGUCUAGCCUGGACAAAGGGAAUUGCCAGUCAGAACUGUCUCCAGGGGCCUAGCCCCUCAGGCAGGGCACAGGUGGGGUGGGCGCACAGAUGGCUGGUGGGCAGCUCUGGUUACAGGCAAUAGUCACAACAAGACUAAAAUCCCCUUAUUUCUAUGAACGCUGGGGCAUAAGCUGUGAGAUGGCACAGUGAAGAUCCACUGGCAGAGGCCAGUGCUGCCAGGAGGAGAGAGGAGCCCACUCUCACCUCUCAGAGGAGGUGGGGGCUGUGGCCAGAGGGCCAGAAGGUCCUGAGCACCAAGCCAUCUGGCCUGGUGCCCCUGGACUUUUCAGCCUCAGGAAAGAGGCCCUUUCAAGCCAAGGAGGUGAGGACUAGCACAGGAGGGGAGCCUGAGGCCAAGGAAGAAAUGGCAUAGCCAUAGUCAUAGGGGAAUGCUGGCUGGUGGGAGGAUCCUGAAUUGUCUGUGUUAGGACUGGUCCUCCUGGGGCUGGGUAGAGCUGGAGGCAGCCUCUCUUCACUUGGGCUAGCUGCCUAGGCUCAUACUCAGACCUGGCCACAUCCUCAGCCCUGAGAUGGGACCUACAGCUGGGGGACCUCAUGUACCUACCCACCCUCCUUCCUUCAUCAAAUGUUUGCUAUGUGCUGACUCUAGGCCAGCCACCUUGGGAUUGGCUACUGGGGCAGGAAUGGGGAGCAAUGAGCAGGCAGAGAUGAAGGCCAGCACCUCCAGAGGCUCAUGUCCUUAGAGUCCAGACAGACACAGGCCCAAGGAGUUCUCUCCAAAGAGUAGGCAGAGAUAAAUCUCAGGAAGAGCCAAGGCCAAGGGCCAAGUCAAGCUCACUAGUUCAAACAGGUGGUGGUCCCCACCCACUCCCUCACUGGUCAGAAGUCUGGGGGCAGGCCAGAUUUCCGUUGGCAAAUGAUAGGAAAAGGGCAUUCCAGGUGGUUGGACCGUGUGAGCAGAGGCUGGGGGCCAGGACGUAGGAUUCAAGAAUACUAUGCUCUGGCCUGAGGUAUUUGGGUGGGCUCUGGGCAGCUCAAGGAAGGGGCUGGGGACUCUAAUCACUUGUGAAAAAGUCAAGGCAUUCCUCUAACACCCAUUUAGCAAAAAGUUCCUACAGUGUGCCAGGCAUGUGGUUUAUAGGUUGGGGAUUCAGUAGGGAUCAAAACAGAUGACGUUCAAGGGAGACAGAGACACAGCAUUUUCAGAUGCUAACAGGUACCACGGAGAAGAUUCUAACAUGGUGAUCUAGGAGGCGAUCUAACAGGGCUAGGGCCUAGGAGGAGACUUUAGGGCGUGGGGCCAGAGAAGGCUGCAAUGAUGUUUAAGCCAAGAUCUGAGUGAUCCAAAGGUCAGGGGGAAGAGCAUUCCAGGCAGAAGGAGUAGGCAGUGUAGAGGCCCUGAGGCCUGUGAGGUCCUGAAGGGCAGCCCACGUCAAUGGGGCAAGGAGAAGGGAAAGGAGGUGGAUGGGACCAGCGAGGCAGGUGGGGCUCUGUCGGUUGGGCUAAGGCCUGUGGACUUUAUUCUAAGUGCCAUGGGAAGUCAUUGGAUUUUGAACUAGGGAGUGGUUUUUUCCCUUAAAUCACUGUGACAGCCUCAUGGAGACCAGAUUGUGGAGGCUCCAUGAAGACCAAGGGAGACACUGUCGAGAUGAGAGAGGAUGGUGGCCAGGAUUGGGUGCUUGCUGGGAGGUGGUGGGAAGCUGGCAUUUGGGGAUGUUAUUUGGAGGCAGAGCCAACAGGACUUCAGGAAGGGUUGGCUGUAGGGUGUGAGAGAGGGUUGUCCAGGGCAGUUCUUCAGUUUCUGGCUUAAGCACAUGAGCAAAUGGCAUGGCCAUUUUCAGAAGAGGGGGAUGCUGGGAAAAGCAGACCAGGGAGAGGGAAAUCAAGGGUUCUGGGUUGUCUGUGUUAGGACUGGGACUCCUGGGGCUGGAUAGGGCUGGAGGUGCCAAGGGAAACAGUUGUCAGAUAUAAGCCUAGAGUUCCAGAGAGGGGGUUGCCCCAGAGAUUGAUCCAUCUUUAGCAUAGAGAUGUAUUUUGCUUACACAAGGGACAGGGUACCCCUCCAGCCCCAGGAACCCAGAGAUUCAAAUGAGCCAUUGAUCUGGAGCCAUUGAUCAAUGAGCCAUUGAUCUGGAGGCCCCAGCAGGGUCAAGGCCAGCAGGGGCCAGCAGGGAAGGACCCUGCUCUUGAAGCCUCCCCCAUAUCUGUCUAGUGAACCAAGACCACCUCACCCCACCCCAAAGCUAGAGAAGUUGAUGAUGUAAACUUGGCUUUCAGGAGCCAAGGCCCAACUGGGGGUGGAAGGUGCUGCCGUAGGGACCCUGGAGGCCAGCUGUCUAAGUGAUCCUCUGCUUAUCCUAGCCUGGCCUGGCCUGGUGUGAAAGAGUCUAGACUCCACCCUGACAGGACCCCGUCAUGGCUUAAAGUGCUCCUUCAAAGGGCCUGAGAGCCAUUCACGUCCAUUGCCACCAGUUAGCUGUGUGUCCUCAGGCAAGCCCUUCAUCUCUCUGUGCCUUCCCAUUAUAGGCAGUUGGAAGAGUAACUCUCUGAGCCCAUGUCCUCCCCUGUCAGAGGUCUGUGAAUGCAAAAGCUAGCCAGGUCAUGCCUGUUACACCCCCAACUGAGCAAAGUGUGGCUUCAGCCCCAGCUCAGACGGGGCAGUGGGAAUGAUGGGAGGCUGGAGCUGGGUGGGCUGCUGUUCUUGCAGCGUGGCCCGUGGCCCCUGCCUCACCCAUCCUCCUGUGAUUCUCAGCUCUUUGGGGCCCGCCCCAGGCAGACAGGCAUCACCUCCUGAGUGUCUCUUCUUCAGGGAGAGGAGGUGGUUGCCACCGCCACCGCCAAAGCCAUCCUCCGGGUCCUGUGCUCCUCCAUGCCAAGCACAUUAGGGGAUAAUUAAGUAAAAAUAGGCAUUCCGACCAGUGUAGCUCAUUAAGGCCUAAUUAAGUUAAUUAGUUCCAGGUGUGGAUGGCGAGGCUCAAGUGAGGCGGCGGCUGUUGUUUGCUGUAAUUGCAUUUUCGCAGCAGCAGUGAUGGUGACAGUAAUGGUGUGGCAGAGACAGCGGCUUUCUCUGAGGCCUGGAAGCCCGCCAGGAAGUUCAGGAGGCUGUCGCUGAGCUGGGAGGGGUACGAGGAAGCCAGGGGCCACACAGAGAGAGUGGUGACUGGAGGUUCAAGGUCUCCCAGGCCCAGGGAGGCCCUGCUCCGUCUCUGUGUGGGGGAGGUUUUGUGUAUAUGUGUGUGUGUGUGUGUGUGUGUGUGUGUGUGUGUGCACAAAGCCACAAAGAGGCAUCUUCCCCUCUGGUUGAGUAGGGGAGGUGCACUGUGGCUGGUCUUUUGGCCUUGGGCUCAGUUCCCUCACACCCCAUCACAGUCCCCAGGAAAGACUUUAAAGUGACUUUGCUAAAAGGGAAUCUGUGGGCCAGAGGGAGUGGGAAAGACCUCUAGGAAUCUGCCUCACUCACUCUAUUUGGCUUGAAUCCCCCAUUCCUGUCCCUUCUGGCAGGUGCAUGGAUCUUAAGCUGUCGCCUCUUUGUGAUUCAGGGCAGGAGUGGGGGCUACGCAAGUCCAGGCCUCCACAGAGGACCUGUUGGCUCAGUUAGUCUCCUGACCCAAACGUCUCCCUCAGUCCACUUUCUGUCAUGGCUUCUGGACUCAGCUGUCCUUGGGGACCUGCCUGUGUGGGACAGCCCUCUCAGCCUCAGUCACACUCACAUUCAUACAUUCAUGCUUGCAUGCAUUCAGCUGUUGCUCACUGAACAUCUCCUCUGUGCCAGGCAGCAGGACCAGGGGAUGGGAAUAUAGGCUGGGCAAGACAGGUUGGACUCUGUCCCAUGGCACCUUUGGUCUCUCCAAGGAGGCAGACAUGUUAAUGACUCUGGCCACACAAUUUUGCCAUGGCUGUGGGCACCUAGGGGUGUUUAACCCAGUCCUGGGAGGAAAGAUGUCCAAUCUGCAGUGAAUGUGAUGCAGGAGACAGGGGGACAGGGUGUGUGUCAGGAACUGAAAGGGCUUCCCUCUGGCUGGAGGACAGCAUGAGGGCACUGAGUGGGGAGAGUGGGGCCAGAUCAGGGAGGACUGUGGGGCUGCUGGGUAGAAAAUGAACUGGCACUGGUGACUGGGAGGCGAGGGAGGAGGUGGCCAGGGCUGCAUCUGUGGAUCCAGAGAGGAGUGGAUAGAUUUGAGGGAUAUUUAGGAGGAGAACCGAUGGGGCUUGCUGCACUGGUUGGGUGUAAGGGAUGGGGUAGGAGGAGGCUGUCAGCCUUGCAGAGAGGGGCCUUGGGAGUGGGGUUGGGCUCUGAGAUGUCCCCACAGGCUGGGACUAGGAUGAGACAAGGGAAGUGCCUGGGGUGAAAAAUUGGGGGAAUUCGCUACCAGCCUUGUGUUCCCCCUUGUGCCUCUCUCAGGUGUCCUGAAAUUUCUCGCUAAGAAAGACACAUCUUGGAAAGUGGAAGCCGCCCCUGGAGAUGGGACAAUGGGGGCAUAGUUCUCAGCAGGGUGUGCCCCCUGGGCACUUCAACCCCUACCUGGGAGGUGCUGUCUUCUCUAUACCUUCCAGCACUGGGCUGGGGCCAGGAUUGACACCUUAGGGCUCAUUUGCUCCUGAUAGGUACUCUCUUUCCAUUCAGGUGUCCAAAUGACAGGAAAGGUGCCCAUUCAGCUUCCCCUGUCAUGCCUCCCAUGACAGGGAGCUCCUGCCAUCUGGGCAGCCCAGUCCUUUGGUUGGGACCAUUAUAAAAAUAUUGUAUCAUGAGCCCAAAUCUGUCUUCUUCCAACAGUUGACUCAGCCCUGCCUCCUACCCUCCCCUACUACCCAGGCCAAGUCUGCCAAUCCCCUUUCCCCGACCAGCUUCACCUCUCAGAGUCUCAGUGUCCCCACCUGCAAAAAGGGAAACAGUAAUAGCUACCCCCUUCUAGGAUUGGUGUGAGGAUUAAAUGACAUGUGUAUAAACCUCAUGGCAUAUGCUAACUUUUCUAUUUUAUUUUUCAGAGACAGGGUCUAACUGUGUUGCCCAGGCUGGAGUGCAGUGGCAUGAUCAUGGUUCCCUGCAGCCUUGACCUCCUGGGCUCAAGCGAUCCUCCCACCUUAGCCUCCCAAAUAGCUGGGACUACAGGCAUACGCAUGUCACCAUGCCCAGCUAAUUUUAAAAAAUUUUUUGUAGAGAUGGGGGUCUUGCCAUGUUGCCUAGGCUGGCCUCAAACUCCUGGGCUCAAACAGUCUUCCUACCUUGCCUCAAACUCCUGGACUCAACAGUCCUCCUACCUUGGCUUCCCAAAGUGCUGGGAUUACAGGUAUGAGCCAUCACACCUGGCCACAUGCUAAUUGCUUAGUAACUGGUUCCUAACCCAUAGUAAGGAUGAAUAGCUGCAGAGGUGGACGCUGUGCUCCUUCUGGCUUGGGCUGCCCAGUCAUACAGUCUUGUACCACUGGUACAUCAAUGGUACCCAUCUGUUGGCCCCAGGUAGCUGACCCUGCCACCACCCCACUCACAUCCGGUGUAGAUGGAGAGCUAAUCGCAGAGAAGAAUGUCCAUGGGGAAGAAGUGACAUUUUCUUGGGAUGGCAAAGCCACAAUGACGUGCAGGGUCUGCCCGGCUGGUUAUUGAAUCAGUUCUCUGCUCAGCCCCAGCCCCUCCCCUCUGGUCCCCCUGCUCCUCAAGUCUCUCAUUCAGGGGUACGAGUGGACCUGCCAUGCCUGUGAAAUGGCCCUGGUGGUGGGAGUCCCUCCUGAGCCUGAGGGCCCCGCUGAGCCCCAGAUCCCUUGGAGGGUAGCAGACCCUUUAGAAACGCAUCAUUGUCUGGGGUGCCCAUACUUUUCCCACAAGGCUGCAGGGUGUUGAGGCUGGGGCGAGGGGCUUGCAGGAACCCCUGGCUUCCCUCAAAGAUCAGAAGAACCACCCAAGAAAGGACAAAGCCAUCCCACUGCCUUUUCCCAUGCGUUCCCAUCCCAGAGCCUCUGUCUGCAGCAACAAAACUGGCUUCUGCAGUGCUCUCUGCUUCUUCUGUUUCUCUGUUGAAAACCAGCGCUUGUGUCAAGGAGGAAUUCUUUAGAUUUAAAGGACAGUGGUGACCAUCCUCCCCGAGCCCUGGUCACCGGGGACCACCAGGUUCCUGUUGGAGGACAGAGGGCACCACAGGGGAAGGCAACAACAGGGGCAAAGGAAUGCCCAGAGCAUGGGCAGGGCAGCCAUUCAGGCAAUGCCGUGUCAUGUGGGUGGGCAGGGGCGAUGGGUGGGAACAGGGUGGGUGGUGUUUGUGGGAUUGACAAUGAGCUGGUGUUGUGCAGGGCAGGCCUUACCUCCUUCUCACCCCAACUGAGGGAGGGUUGACUGUUUCUACACACCCCCUUGUUUUUCACACCCGGGACUUGGCCCUAAGGGACUUUCCCAAAGGCACACAGCUGGUGGGGCCUGAGGGAGGAUGACGGAGGUGUGGGCCCCCUCACACCCCUGUUGAGUCCUGCUGGCAAGGCUCCUCCCUAUGGGGGCACCAGGAGAGAAACAACUGUGAGGCUCAGUUUGUUUGGUUUGGAGGCCUAAUACCUUGAGGCCCUGCGCCUCCAGGAGGUCUGGCUCUGCCACUGGCUCACUGUGGGUGUGACCGGGACCGGGGCCUAGCUUUGCCCUAUGCCUCAGUUUCCUCAGUUGCACAAAGGAGUUAAGUUCUGGGUUGGCUCAUGCUUUUUUGCCUCCCAGGGCAAUGGCGCACCCGGGGAGAGGGGUCAUCUGCAGUUGCAGUCACAGAUGGGAAAAUGAGGCCCAGAGAUGAGACAGUUUACUCUGGGGCCAGCAGACUCAGUUCUGAGCAUGUGGCCAGCAGCCAGGAGAGGAGACUGCAGGGGGAAAUGCCAGCAAAGCCCAGCCUUUUUGCAUCUCCAGUUUUCUUUAACCUGCCCUCCAGCCCUCCUUUGCCUGAGUUCACAACUCAACCCCAGCUGCGUGUAUCCUGACGCAAGGCCCCCUUCCCUCCACCCAGCAAUUAUGGCUGGUCACAAAAGCUGGACCGUGACCAGACAAAGGGACAGGGAUGAAAGUGCUGGUUGUCAUGGCAACCUGGUGGGGUUGCUGGGACCCAGGGGAGGGGCUGGCUAUGUGCCUGAGCCCAGGCAUCAGGACGAGACCUGUGAGCAUGAGCCAGGGCAGCCUGACGGCCCACAGGGACCCCCCUCCUGCUCUGGGCCCGCCAAAGCCGGGCAUACAAUGGCAACCUCAGCCCCUCCAUGGGCAGCACCUGCUCCCUGGGCCUCCCCCAGUGGCCCCAUUAUCCUGCACCUGCUGACCACCGCCCCCCCAACCUGCUUCCCAGCCCAAGCUCCCUCCCCAGGGCAGGCCCUGCCCAUCCUCAGGCCCACCUGCCUUCUCUGAGAGCCAGCCAAGAGGGCUGGGGAACCAGGAGGGAUAGCAGGGAAGGCCCUGGGCAGGGACCGAGGGUCCAGCUGCCAAGCCAGCUCUGCCUGGCCAGCAGUGUGUGUGCCUGCAAAACAAGGCUUUGCUCCAGGACCUCAGUCUGCUCACCUGAAAACUGGGAGCAUCCAAUCCUGCCUUCAGGGUCUGCAAGGGCCAGUUUCUCUCUGCUUGGAGGGAGGGCUGAGGCCAGGUUGGGAAGAGAACAGACGGGGGUAUCUUGGGUCAUAUUUUCAGGGCCGCAUCUGUUGGACCACAUGGAGACCUGAGUCCUUACUGUACACUUCAGAGUCACUGCUUAGGUUUGGAGAUGACAUUUUCCAGAGGCCUCCAAGGAUACAGAGGAAGUGGGCAGGAGACCCAGUAUUGCCACGCUUUUUUUUUUUUUUUUUGAGAUGGAGUCUCUCUCUGUCACCCAAGCUGGAGCACAGUGCCACGAUCUCGGCUCACUGGAACCUCUGUCUCCUGGGUUCAGGCAGUUCUCCUGCCUCAGCCUCCCAUGUAGCUGGGACUACAGGGAUGUGCCACCACGUCUGGCUAAUUUUCGUAUUUGUUUUGUUUUGUUUUGUUUUUUGAGACGGA
rnacentral:lncRNA from 1 species